rnacentral:rRNA from 2 species
UUUGGAAGCCAGUUGUAGGAAUCUUCCACAAUGGACGAAAGUCUGAUGGAGCAACGCCGCGUGAGUGAAGAAGGGUUUCGGCUCGUAAAACUCUGUUGUUAAAGAAGAACAUAUCUGAGAGUAACUGUUCAGGUAUUGACGGUAUUUAACCAGAAAGCCACGGCUAACUACGUGCCAGCAGCCGCGGUAAUACGUAGGUGGCAAGCGUUGUCCGGAUUUAUUGGGCGUAAAGCGAGCGCAGGCGGUUUUUUAAGUCUGAUGUGAAAGCCUUCGGCUCAACCGAAGAAGUGCAUCGGAAACUGGGAAACUUGAGUGCAGAAGAGGACAGUGGAACUCCAUGUGUAGCGGUGAAAUGCGUAGAUAUAUGGAAGAACACCAGUGGCGAAGGCGGCUGUCUGGUCUGUAACUGACGCUGAGGCUCGAAAGUAUGGGUAGCAAACAGGAUUAGAUACCCUGGUAGUCCAUACCGUAAACGAUGAAUGCUAAGUGUUGGAGGGUUUCCGCCCUUCAGUGCUGCAGCUAACGCAUUAAGCAUUCCGCCUGGGGAGUACGGCCGCAAGGCUGAAACUCAAAGGAAUUGACGGGGGCCCGCACAAGCGGUGGAGCAUGUGGUUUAAUUCGAAGCUACGCGAAGAACCUUACCAGGUCUUGACAUACUAUGCAAAUCUAAGAGAUUAGACGUUCCCUUCGGGGACAUGGAUACAUGGUGGUGCAUGGUGGUUUAGUCCAGCCUGCGGUUGUUU